rnacentral:rRNA from 1 species
UACGGAGGGUGCAAGCAUUAAUCGGAUUUAUUGGGCGUAAAGGGCGCGUAGGCUGAUCAGUAAGUCAGAUGUGAAAUCCCGGGGCUCAACCCCGGAACUGCAUUUGAAACUGCUAAUCUAGAGGGUAGGCGGAGAAAACAGAAUUCCACAAGUAGCGGUGAAAUGCGUAGAUAUGUGGAAGAAUACCGGUGGCGAAGGCGGUUUUCUAGCUUACUCCUGACGCUGAGGCGCGAAAGUAAGGGGAUCAAACAGG